CAUAACCUUAUACACAAGAUUUAAAAUAACCCCUGGGCACAUGUGGGCCCAACCCAGAGAUAGCCCUUCCUGAAAUGACUGGAGCCAAGAGCCUGUCACGCUCGCGGUAUUCAGUGCAAGGUCUGAUCGCGUCUUCUGUCACUCAAGGCCUGAGGGCGCGGAGCCUGGAGCUCUAUCCAUUAAGGGCGCUGGGGUGGGAACUGUCCAAUCAGGUUCACAGUCAGAGAGGAAGGGGUGGCUCCCGGUACCUGGCGGGGCCUUUGUCUCUUGCUCCAGCCAGAGCUCGAGGUUAGCUCUUCACUGCCCUGUGUCUUCUUUCCAAGGGUCUCGGUGAUUCGGCCACAGCCUCAGCCUCCAUCACGCGGUGAACUGAUGGUGCUGGAAGAUUCAUAGACUCCAGGACAUUCCUGAAGCCGAGAAAAGGUUAAGUAGGGUCUGGCCUGGAAUACUCUCCUAGAUGAAGAUAGCCCAACCAUGAGCCACCUUCGAAGCAGAUGAGAUGAAAUUAAAGCUCUUCAACUCCUAAAGGCCCAGAGACUAUCACAAAAGAGGUCAGAAAUCCUGAAGGUCACUUUCUGACAAACUCAGGAACCCCAGGUUUAUCUUGGAGCCUCAAGAGGAGAUAAAUUCACCCAACUCAGAGUGAGGCUGGCUGGGGGAGCCUGGGCUCCUCUGUCCUCCCCGAGGUGGCAGUGGCUGAUGUCUGCUCAGGUGUGAGGGGGUGCUGCCAUCCUCUGGGCCUGAGGCUGCCUGGCCCAGCCCCUCCUAACUCCCUGGACUCUUCCACGGUGUCUUCAGGCCCCUACACCAUCCUUUGUGUAAGGGGAGGUGGCAGCAUAGAGAUGAUGGGGGAACUGCCCCAUGUGCCAAGGAAAGCUCACCCAUCUGUGCGAAAUGCUCUGGUUGACAUUGGGUUUUUGCGCACCAAACUGGGCCAUGACCAAGGUUUAUAACCAAGGUGUCUCCGGGCAUGGGCACUUUGGCUCUUGUAGAAACCACCCCACUGGCAGGAGACGGCGGUAGCUGUGGUCAUUGAAAACAAGCUCCUGCUGAUAAAUCUCAGACACCAGACACAGAAGAACCUGGAGACCCUGCCAGAGAGCUUGAGGCAAAUGGAUGGACUGUUGGAGCAGCUGAGGGUGAAGCAGCACAAACUCCUCAAAGUUGAAUAGCAAAGCAGCCACCAGAGAUGGACAAGAAAAAUGAACAAAGAAAAUUAGCAGAAAUCAAAGGCAGAUGCUAAAGCAGUGCAAAAUCAUUCAUUCAAUGAUAGAAAUGAAAUUGAUGAAGGAGUCUGGAAAAUGAAUGACAGAAGAGAAUUAAACAGCAGUGACCAUAGUAAGGUCCUGACGAUUCUGGUCCACUGAAUCCCAUCAUCCCUAAGACAGUAAAUAUCAUCACAGUCACCACCAGCAAGUUACCACCACAGCAUUUCCUGUUUGUUCCAAAAUGAAUAAAGAUGAUUCUCAUCACAAGGGCAAAUACAAAGUAGUUUAGUAUGUUUUUAACUAAACUAAAGGUGUUUGGUUUACUUUUUCUAAGUUCUCAUAAUUCUGAAAAUGCAGUUGACACUUGUGUGGCUCAUGAUGUUUUUAAUAGUCUAAUGCUACUUGAAUUGUUCAAAAACCACUGUAUUUUAAAUUAAGAUGAAUAAACGGUCCUUUGAAAACUGGCACAAGGCAAGGAUGCCCUCUGUCACCACUCCUAUUCAACACAGUAUUGGAAGUUCUGGCCAGGGCAAUCAGGCAAGGGAAAGCAAUACAGCGUAUCAAAAUAGGAAGAGAGGAAGUCAAAUUGUCUCUGUUUGCAGAUGACAUGAUUGCAUAUUUAGAAAACCCCAUCUUCUCAGCCCAAAACCUCCUUAAGCUGAUAAGCAACUUCAGCAGUCUCAGAAUACAAAAUCAAUGUGCAAAAAAUCACAAGCAUUCCUAUACAUUAAUAACAGACAAACAGAGAGCCAAAUCAUGAGUGAACUCCCACUCACAAUUGCUAGUAAGAGAAUAAAAUACCUAGGAAAAUACAGCUUACAAGGGACAUGAAGGACCUCUUCAAGGAGAACUACAAACCACUGCUCAAGGAAAUGAGAAGAGACAAACAAAUGGGAAAGCAUUCCAUGCUCAUGGAUAGGAAGAAUCAAUAUCGUGAAAAUGGCCAUAGUGCCCAAAGUAAUUUUAUAGAUUCAAUGCUAUCCUCAUUAAGCUACCAUUGAUUUUCUUCACAGAAUUGGAAAAAACUACUUUAAACUUCAUAUGGAACCAAAAAAGAGCCUGCACAACCAAGACAAUACUGGGCAAGAAGAACAAAGCUGGAAACAUCAGGCUACCUGGCUUCAAACUAUACUACAAGGCUACAGGAACCAAAACAGCAUGGUACUGGUACCAAACAGAUAUGUAGACCAGUGGAACAGAACAGGGCCUCAGAAAUUGAUAUCACUCUGUCACCAUCAAAAAAUACUUAUUUAGUGUCAAAUCCUACUGUGAAAUAGCAGAACUGUGGGAUUUGUAAAGUGGAAAUGCAGAAUUCAAAACAGAGAUAUAUACCAAUGGAACAGAGCAGAGGCCUCAGAAAUACCACCACACGGCUACAACAAUCUGAUCUUUGACAAACCUGACACACACAAGCAAUGAGAAAAAGAUUCCCUAUUUAAUAAAUGGUGUUGGGAAAACUGGCUAGCCAUAUGUAGAAAAUUGAAACUGGACCCCUUUCUUACCCGUUUUACAAAAAUCAACUCAAGAUGUAUCAAAGACUUAAAUGUAAGACCUAAGACCAUAAAAAUCCUAGAAGAAAACCUGGGCAGUACCAUUCAGGACAUAGGCAUGGGCAAAGCCUUCAUGUCCAAAACACCAAAAGCAGUGGCAACAAAAGCCAAAAUUGACAAAUGGGAUCUAAUUAAAUUAAAUAGCUUCUGCACAGCAAAAGAAACUCAUCAGAGUGAACAGGCAACUACAGAAUGGGAGAAAAUUCUUGCAAUCUAUCCAUCUGACAAAAGGCUAAUAUCUAGAAUCUACAAAGAAUUUAAACAGUUUACAAGAAACAAACAAACUGCCCCAUCAAAAAAUGGGCAAAGAUAUGGACAGACACUUCUCAAAAGAAAACAUUUAUGCAGCCAACAGACACAUGAAAAAAUGCUCAUCACUGGUCAUUAGAGAAAUGCAAAUCAAAACCACAAUGAGAUACCAUGUCACACCCGUUAGAAUGGCAAUCAUUAAAAAGUCAGGAAACAACAGUGCUGGAGUGGAUAUGGAGAAAUAGGAACACUUUUACACUGUUGGGAGUGUAAAUUAGUUCAACCAUUGUGGAAAACAGUGUGGCAAUUCCUCAAGGAUCUAGAACUAGAAAUAACAUUUGACCAAUUCCAUUACUGAGUAUAUACCUAAAGGAUUAUAAAUCAUUCUAUGAUAAAGACACAUGCACACGUCUGUUUAUUGUGGCACUAUUCACAAUAGCAAAGACUUGAAACCAACCCAAAUGUCCAUCAAUGAUAGACUGGGUAAAGAAAAUGUGGCACAUAUACACUGUGGAAUACUGUGCAGGUGUAAAAAAGGAUGAGUUCAUGUCCUUUGCAGGGACAUGGAUGAAGCUGGAAACCAUCAUUCUCAGCAAACUAGCACAAGAUCAGAAAACCAAACGCUGCAUGUUCUCACUCAUAAGUGGGAGUUGAACAGUGAGAACACAUGGACACAGGGAGGUGAACAUCACACACUGGGGCCUGUCAGGUGCUGGGGGGCUAAGGGAGGGAUAACAGGAAAAAUACCUAAUGUAGGUGACGGGUUGAUGGUUGCAGCAAACCACCAUGGCACAUGUGUACACGUAUGUAAUAAAACUGAUGUUCUUCACAUGUAACCCAGAACUUAAAGUAUAAUAAUAAAAAGAAGAAUAAAUAUUUGUUUUAUAUAUUUAAAGCUUAGAAUCACAAAUAAUGCUUCUGUUUAUGAUUUGAAAACUUCAAAGUUUGGUUUUCCUUCUGUACAUACACAAAACAUUGUAUUGUGCUGAAAUAUUUGUUUUUUAAAGUGGCAGUCAUAGUUCCUGUCUGUCCGGAUAUAUAUAUGUAUAUAUGUUAAGCAUAACAUAAGAAAGAAAUUUCAUUAGCUGGGCAUGAUGGCUCACUCCUGUAAUCCCAGAACCUUGGGAGGCUGAGGUGGGUGGAUUGCCUGAGGUCAGGAGUUUGAGACCAGCCUGGCCAACAUAGUGAAACCUCGUCUCUACUAAAAAUACAAAAAAUUAGGUGGGCGUGGUGGCAGGCACCUGUAAUCCCAGCUACUAGGGAGGCUGAGGCAAGAGAACGGCUUGAACCUGGGAGUCAGAGGUUGACGUGAGCCGAGAUCACACCAUUGCACUCCAG
rnacentral:lncRNA from 1 species